AUGCCAUAUAAAAACUUUCUCUACACCUGAAUGUGUUUCUGCAGAAAUUCAGAGGGCUGGCAAUAGUAAAGCCAUGUUACAAGCCUUAAAGACAGUAAAGUCAUUAAGGUCCCUGAAAAUGGCUACAUGA